rnacentral:rRNA from 1 species
CAAUAGCGUAUAUUAAAGUUGUUGCGGUUAAAAAGCUCGUAGUUGGAUUUCUGUUGAGGGACGUCGGUCCGCACUAUGUGCGUGUAUCUGACUGUGCCUCGGCAUCCUCUCGAAUAUCGGUCUGCGCUUCAUUGCGUGGGUCGGACUUCGGGACUUUUACUUUGAGGAAAUUAGAGUGUUCACGGCAGGCAAGCGCCCUGAAUAUAUUAGCAUGGAAUAAUGAUAUAGGAUCUUGGUCCUAUUUUGUUGGUUUCUAGGGCUAAGAUAAUGAUUAAUAGGGACAAUUGGGGGCAUUCGUAUUAACGCGUCAGAGGUGGAAUUCUUGGAUUGCGUUACGACGAACUACUGCGAAAGCAUUUGCCAAGGAUGUUUNCAUUG